UGGAGAGUUUGAUCCUGGCUCAGAUUGAACGCUGGCGGCAUGCCUUACACAUGCAAGUCGAACGGCAGCAUGAUCUAGCUUGCUAGAUUGAUGGCGAGUGGCGAACGGGUGAGUAAUACAUCGGAACGUGCCCUGUAGUGGGGGAUAACUAGUCGAAAGAUUAGCUAAUACCGCAUACGACCUGAGGGUGAAAGUGGGGGACCGCAAGGCCUCAUGCUAUAGGAGCGGCCGAUGUCUGAUUAGCUAGUUGGUGGGGUAAAGGCCCACCAAGGCGACGAUCAGUAGCUGGUCUGAGAGGACGAUCAGCCACACUGGGACUGAGACACGGCCCAGAMUCCUACGGGAGGCAGCAGUGGGGAAUUUUGGACAAUGGGCGAAAGCCUKGAUCCAGCAAUGCCGCGUGUGUGAAGAAGGCCUUCGGGUUGUAAAGCACUUUUGUCCGGAAAGAAAUGGCUCUGGUUAAUACCUGGGGUCGAUGACGGUACCGGAAGAAUAAGGACCGGCUAACUACGUGCCAGCAGCCGCGGUAAUACGUAGGGUCCAAGCGUUAAUCGGAAUUACUGGGCGUAAAGCGCACGCAGGA
rnacentral:rRNA from 1 species